AUUGAACGCUGGCGGCGUGCCUAAUACAUGCAAGUCGAACGAAACUUUCUUACACCGAAUGCUUGCAUUCACCGUAAGAAGUUGAGUGGCGGACGGGUGAGUAACACGUGGGUAACCUGCCUAAAAGAAGGGGAUAACACUUGGAAACAGGUGCUAAUACCGUAUAUCUCUAAGGAUCGCAUGAUCCUUAGAUGAAAGAUGGUUCUGCUAUCGCUUUUAGAUGGACCCGCGGCGUAUUAACUAGUUGGUGGGGUAACGGCCUACCAAGGUGAUGAUACGUAGCCGAACUGAUAGGUUGAUCGGCCACAUUGGGACUGAGACACGGCCCAAACUCCUACGGGAGGCAGCAGUAGGGAAGCUUCCACAAUGGACGCAAGUCUGAUGGAGCAACGCCGCGUGAGUGAAGAAGGUCUUCGGAUCGUAAAACUCUGUUGUUAGAGAAGAACACGAGUGAGAGUAACUGUUCAUUCGAUGACGGUAUCUAACCAGCAAGUCACGGCUAACUACGUGCCAGCAGCCGCCGUAAAAU
rnacentral:rRNA from 1 species